GGGGAAUAUUGCACAAUGGGCGCAAGCCUGAUGCAGCAACGCCGCGUGAGUGAAGAAGGCCUUCGGGUCGUAAAGCUCUGUCCUUUGGGACGAAUAAAGUGACGGUACCAGAGGAGGAAGCCCCGGCUAACUACGUGCCAGCAGCCGCGGUAAUACGUAGGGGGCAAGCGUUAUCCGGAAUCACUGGGCGUAAAGGGUGCGUAGGUGGCCUAUCAAGUCAGAAGUGAAAGGCAGUGGCUUAACCAUUGUAAGCUUUUGAAACUGAUGGGCUUGAGUGCAGGAGAGGUAAGUGGAAUUCCUAGUGUAGCGGUGAAAUGCGUAGAUAUUAGGAGGAACACCAGUGGCGAAGGCGACUUACUGGACUGUAACUGACACUGAGGCACGAAAGCGUGGGGAGCGAAC
rnacentral:rRNA from 1 species